ACCCAUAGUGGAAGGGGUACCCCGGGAACUGGGGAUAAUACCCCAUAGACUAUGAAUGCUGGAAUGCUUUGUAGUUGAAAGGUCCGCCGCCAUAGGAUGGGUCUGCGGCCGAUUAGGUUGUUGUUGGGGUAACGGCCCAACAAGCCUGUAAUCGGUACGGGUUGUGGGAGCAAGAGCCCGGAGAUGGAUUCUGAGACACGAAUCCAGGCCCUACGGGGCGCAGCAGGCGCGAAAACUUUACAAUGCGGGAAACCGUGAUAAGGGAACUCCGAGUGCCCGUAAAAUCGGGCUGUCCAUCUGUUUAAAUAACAGGUGAAGAAAGGGCCGGGCAAGACCGGUGCCAGCCGCCGCGGUAAUACCGGCGGCUCGAGUGGUGGCCACUAUUACUGGGCUUAAAGCGUUCGUAGCUGGUCUGUUAAGUCUCUGGGGAAAUCUACUGGCUUAACCAAUAGGCGUCUCAGGGAUACUGGCAGACUAGGGACCGGGAGAGGUGAGAGGUACUCCAGGGGUAGGAGUGAAAUCCUGUAAUCCUUGGGGGACCACCUGUGGCGAAGGCGUCUCACCAGAACGGCUCCGACAGUGAGGGACGAAAGCUGGGGGAGCAAACCGGAUUAGAUACCCGGGUAGUCCCAGCUGUAAACGAUGCGCGUUAGGUGUAUCGGUGACCACGAGCCAUCGAGGUGCCGAAGAGAAAUCGUGAAACGUGCCGCCUGGGAAGUACGGUCGCAAGGCUGAAACUUAAAGGAAUUGGCGGGGGAGCAC
rnacentral:rRNA from 1 species